AAUGGGUUGCUCAGUGGGUAGAACCUAGGGCUUGUGACCGUAAGGUCCUGGGUUCGAAUCUCGUAUGUGUUU
rnacentral:tRNA from 1 species